GGGAGUGAGAGUGGCUGGGUGGCCACUGGGGAGCUUGUUGGGGUCAGCCCACCACAGGUACCCAGUAUUAUUUAAAUUUCAAGCACUGAAAUGUGCGUAUAUAUCCAGCAAGUAUCACUUCUAUAGCAUAUUCCAGGUAAGAGCCUGAGUACCUCACACAUGGCUCAGCCUUACUUGCCCCAGAGAGGCACAUAAGCCACUGGCCCUGUUCAGCACACAGGGGUGCUGAGAGGGGAAAAAAGCAUUUCUGUCUGCAUGUCUGGCAAGAAUAUGUUUACAGUCCUGGCAGGGACUUUAGAGACCACACAGUAGCAUGGAAAAGGAGGAAUUCCUGGCAGACUUACUACCCAGCUGACCCAGCAGCUCCCUGCAAGGCUGAGGGUUUCCUGGGAGUCGGCAUGGAGUUUCUCUGCCUACCUGCUGCCUUUGACGGCAACAAGAGAUACUUCAAAGGGCUCGAUGUGCUGAUUGGACCUGGCCGUGGGCUGGUGGAGAGGAGAGGCUCAUCACUGACACCAUUUCCAUACCCACUUUCGAUGCUGGUCAUAACCCCACCACGAGCACUGCGUGAAAUCAGCAGGUUAUGUGCAAGGAAUGGAACAUUUGACUUUCUGCAUUACACCAAGAGAUGAAUCAGCAACAAGUUGUCAAGCUUUUCAUCUUCUUUUUUUUUUUAAUAAUUAAAAUCAACAAGAAAUUCA